CCUCCCUUGUUAAUACCGCCUAUAUACCGCCGUCGUCAGCCUACCCUGUGAAGGACUAGAAGUGAGCAAGAUUGGUAAAACCCAAAACGUCAGGUCGAGGUGUAGUGUAUGAGAGGGGAAGAAAUGGGCUACAUUUCCUAAAUCAGGAAAUACGAAUAAUGAACUGAAAUAAGCAUUAGAAGGUGGAUUUAGCAGUAAGCAGUAAAACAGAGUGUUCUGCUGAAAUUUGGCAAUAAAGCACGCACAUAUCGCCCGUCACUCUCCCCAAGCUAAUACAAUACAAAUACCUAAAAAACUACAUCUGCAAAGGGGAGGCAAGUCGUAACAUGGUAAGCGUACCGGAAGGUGCGCUUGGAACAAU
rnacentral:rRNA from 1 species